UCCCUGGUGAUCCAGUGGCUAAGACUCUGUGCUCUUGAUGCAGGGGAUCCAGGUUCAAUCCCUGGUCAGGGAA
rfam:TPA: Bos taurus chromosome 22, whole genome shotgun sequence.